rnacentral:lncRNA from 1 species
CCUCCCCCUUCCCUUUCCAUUCGAAAUCUUCGCCGUCUCCUCCAUUUCCGAAACGGCCUCUGCCUCUUCCUCUCGCGACGACGACUUGCGCGGGACUGCGGUCAUGGAUUCGUCGGCGCGGGUCGGCUGCGGCUGCGGCUACAGGCGGAGGUAAUCCCGCAUCUCGUCCUUGCUUUUUUCCUGGUUUGGCUUGGUGAGGGUGAGGGCUAGGGUUUGGGUGAGGUGCCGGGGCGAGCACGGAGGGCGAGCACGGGUUGUCCAUGGCAUCUGCGGGGCCUGUGCAUUGCAUCUACAACGGUCGUGUUUCUGUAGGGGGGUCGAGAUCUGAAUGUUGAGGUUGGUGAUACGGUGAGGGAUGUUGGGGGUUGAGAUCCCGUCGAGAUUUAGGGUGUUUUCGGGUGCUAUUUGAGCGCGUGGAUCUAUGAGGGGAUUUGUAUAGUCAGGCGACAACAGUUGCUCAAUUAUUGUCACAUAGUUGCCAUGAUUUUGCGAAGCAGUUGCUGAUUUUUGUCUCAGCCAUCGGCGCCGUUGAGUUGCCUGGAUCUAAUGGGGGCAUUGUGUAGCCAGGCGACAAUAGUUGCUCAAUUUUUCUCACACAGUCGCCAUGAAUUUGCGCAGCAGUUGCUGUAUUUUUCUCAUACCCAUCGGGUGCUGUUUUGAGUGCCUGGAUCUAAUCUAAUGGGGGCAUUGUGUAGCUAGGCGACAAUAGUUGCUCAUUUUUUUCUCACACAGUUGCCAUGAAUUUUUUGCGCAACUAUUGCUGUUUUUUUUCUCACCCCAUCGGGUGCUGUUUUAAGUCGCCUGGAUCUGAUGGGGGCAUUGUGUAGCCAUGUGACAGUAGUUGUUCAAUCUUUUUGUUAAAAUAGUUGGUUACAAUAUAUUUUUGAAGUUGCUUAUCAGUUUUUGGCUGCCUUUUGGGGUUGCUUGGAUCUGCAGGGGUAGUUGUAUAUGUAUAUGACAGUAGUUGCUCAAUUUUACUACUCAUUUUGCAAGGAAAUAUAACAUUAGUUGCUUUCUUUGGGUAAUUAGUUAUUUUUAUUGUCUUGUUGCUAUAAGUUGCCUACCCAACAUCCUGCAGUUGCCUAGAUUCACCACCUAGUUGGCCUGAAUAGCAGACGAGAUGUCAUUAGGAAUAAUAGGCAUUUUUUGCAGUAGUCAUGUGAAUGAAGUUAGGGGAUGUUAAACAGAGGCACAUUUUCUGUACUCACCAAUGAUAUUGAAUUCACUCAUUUUUUAUCUGCAAGUAUAAUUGUUCUUCUAGGUCUUGUAUUUUUUCCAUCCAAAUGACAUUUUUUUUCUUUUUUUGGUGUUGCACAUUUUGUUUUACAGACUGGCUCGAAAAAGCAAGAGGAUUGCGGGGAGGACUGAUGGCAAAGCUGGAAAUGAGGGAAACGAGGAGCUGGUCCAAACGACAAGCAAUGCUGGACGAAAGUGAAGGAAAUAUGCCCUAGAGGCAAUAAUAAAGUAUUAUAUAUUUCCUUAUAUCAUGAUAAAUGUUUAUUAUUCAUGCUAGAAUUGUAUUAACCGGAAACAUAAUACAUGUGUGAAUACAUAGACAAACAGAGUGUCACUAGUAUGCCUCUACUUGACUAGCUCGUUAAUCAAAGAUGGUUAUGUUUCCUAGCCAUAGACAUAAGUUGUCAUUUGAUUAACGAGAUCACAUCAUUAGGAGAAUGACGUGAUUGACUUGACCCAUUCCGUUAGCUUAGCACUCGAUCGUUUAGUAUGUUGCUAUUGCUUUCUUCAUGACUUAUACAUGUUCCUAUGACUAUGAGAUUAUGCAACUCCCGUUUACCGGAGGAACACUUUGUGUGCUAGCAAAUGUCACAACGUAAAUGGGUGAUUAUAAAGGUGCCCUACAGGUGUCUCCAAAGGUACUUGUUGGGUUGGCGUAUUUCGAGAUUAUGAUUUGUCACUCCAAUUGUCGGAGAGGUAUCUCUGGGCCCACUCGGUAAUGCACAUCACUAUAAGCCUUGCAAGCAUUGUGACUAAUGAGUUAGUUGCGGGAUGAUGUGUUACGGAACGAGUAAAGAGACUUGCCGGUAACGAGAUUGAACUAGGUAUCGAGAUACCGACGAUCAAAUCUCGGGCAAGUAACAUACCGGUGACAAAGGGAACAACGUAUGUUGUUAUGCGGUCUGACCGAUAAAGAUCUUCGUAGAAUAUGUGGGAGCCAAUAUGGGCAUCCAGGUCCCGCUAUUGGUUAUUGACCGGAGACGUGUCUCGGUCAUGUCUACAUAGUUCUCGAACCCGUAGGAUCCGCACGCUUAACGUUACGAUGACAGUUUUAUUGAGUUUUGAUGUACCGAAGGAGUUCGGAGUCCCGGAUGAGAUCGGGAACAUGACGAGGAGUCUUGAAAUGGUCGAGACGUAAAGAUCGAUAUAUUGGACGACUAUAUUCGGACUUCGGAAAGGUUCCGAGUGAUUCGGGUAUUUUUCGGAGUACCGGAGAGUUACGGGAAUACGUAUUGGGCCUUAUUGGGCCAUACGGGAAAGAAGGAAAAGGGCCUCAAGGGUGGCCGCACCCCUCCCCUUGGUCUGGUCCGAAUUGGACUAGGGAAGGGGGGCGCCCCCUUCCUUCUCUUUUUCCCUUCCUCUUUUCCUAUUCCAUAUGGGAGGUGGAAUCCUACUAGGACUAGGGAGUCCUAGUAGGACUCCACACUUGGUGCGCCCCCUCCUAGGGCCGGCCUCCUCCUCCCUUGCUCCUUUAUAUACGGGGGCAGGAGGGCACCCCAAGGACACACUUUGAUAUACGAUAUUUUAGCCGUGUGCGGUGCCCCUUCCACCAGAUUACACCUCGAUAAUACCGUUGCGGAGCUUAGGCGAAGCCCUGCGUCGGUGGAACAUCAUCAUCGUCACCACGCCGUCAUGCUGACGAAACUCUCCCUCAACACUCGGCUGGAUCGGAGUUCGAGGGACGUCAUCGAGCUGAACGUGUGUAGAACUCGGAGGUGCCGUACGUUCGGUACUUGAUCGGUCGGAUCGUGAAGACGUACGACUACAUCAACCGCGUUGUGAUAACACUUCCGCUAUCGGUCUACGAGGGUACGUGGACAACACUCUCCCCUCUCGUUGCUAUGCAUCACCAUGAUCUUGCGUGUGCGUAGGAUUUUUUUUGAAAUUACUACGUUCCCCAAACAGUGGCAUCCGAGCCUGGUUUUAUGCGUUGAUGCUAUGCACGAGUAGAACACAAGUGAGUUAUGGGCGAUAUAAGUCAUAUUGCUUACCAGCAUGUCAUACUUUGGUUCAGCGGUAUUGUGAGAUGAAGCGGCCCGGACCGACAUUACGCGUACGCUUACGCGAGACUGGUUUCACCGUUUGGAGCACUCGUUGCUUAAAGGUGACUGGCGGGUGUCUGUCUCUCUCACUUUAUUUGAACCGAGUGUGGCUAUGCCCGGUCCUUGCGAAGGUUAAAACAACACCAACUUGACAAACUAUCGUUGUGCUUUUGAUGCGUAGGUAAGAACGGUUCUUGCUAAGCCCGUAGCAGCCACGUAAAACUUGCAACAACAAAGUAGAGGACGUCUAACUUGUUUUUGCAGGGCAUGUUGUGAUGUGAUAUGGUCAAGACAUGAUGUGAUAUAAUUUGUUGUAUGAGAUGAUCAUGUUCUGUAACCGAGUUAUCGGCAACUGGCAGGAGCCAUAUGGUUGUCGCUUUAUUGUAUGAGAUGCAAUCACCAUGUAAUAGUUUUACUUUAUCACUAAGCGGUAGCGAUAGUCGUAAAAGCAAUUAGUUGGCGAGACGACAACGAUACUACGAUGGAGAUCAAGGUGUCGCGCCGAUGACGAUGGUGAUCAUGACGGUGCUUCGGAGAUGGAGAUCACAAGCACAAGAUGAUGAUGGCCAUAUCAUAUCACUUAUAUUGAUUGCAUGUGAUGUUAAUCCUUUAUGCAUCUUAUCUUGCUUUGUUUGACGGUAGCAUUAUAAGAAGAUCCUUCACUAAAUUAUCAAAGUAUAAGUGUUCUCCCUGAGUAUGCACCGUUGCGAAAGUUCUUCGUGCUGAGACACCACGUGAUGAUCGGGUGUGAUAGGCUCUACGUUCAAAUACAAAGGGUGCAAAACAGUUGCACACGCCGAAUACUCAGGUUAAACUUGACGAGCCUAGCAUAUAACAGAUAUGGCCUCGGAACACGGAGACCGAAAGGUCGAACGUGAAUCAUAUAGUAGAUAUGAUCAACAUAGUGAUGUUCACUAUUGAAACUACUCCAUCUCACGUGAUGAUCGGACAUGGUUUAGUUGAUAUGGAUCACGUGAUCACUUAGAGGAUUAGAGGGAUGCCUAUCUAAGUGGGAGUUCUUAAGUAAUAUGAUUAAUUGAACUUAAAUUUAUCAUGAACUUAGUCCUGAUAGUAUUUUGCAAAUUAUGUUAUAGAUCAAUAGCUCGCGUUAUUGCUUCCCUAUGUUUAUUUUUGAUAUGUUCCUAGAGAAAAAUUAUGUUGAAAGAUGUUAGUAGCAAAGAUGCGGAUUGGAUCCGUGAUCUGAGGAUUAUCCUCAUUGCUGCACAGAAAAAUUAUGUCCUUGAUGCACCGCUAGGUGAAAAACCAAUUGCAGGAGCAGAUGCAGACGUUAUGAACGUUUGGCUAGCUCAAUAUGAUGACUACUUGAUAGUUUAGUGCACCAUGCUUAACGGCUUAGAAUCGGGACUUCAAAGACGUUUUGAACGUCAUGGACCAUAUGAGAUGUUCCAGGAGUUGAAGUUAAUAUUUCAAGCAAAUACCCGAGUUGAGAGAUAUGAAGUCUUCAACAAGUUCUAUAGCUAAAAGAUGGAGGAGAAUUGCUCAACUAGUGAGCAUGUGCUCAUAUUGUCUGGGUACUACAAUCGCUUGAAUCAAGUGGGAGUUUAUCUUCCAGAUAAAAUAGUGAUUGACAGAAUUCUCUAGUCACCAUCACCAAGUUAAUAGAACUUCGUGAUGAACUAUAGUAUGCAAGGGAUGACGAAAGUAAUUCCCGAGCUCUUCGUGAUGCUGAAAUCGAUGAAGGUAGAAAUCAAGAAAAACAUCAAGUGUUGAUGGUUGACGAGACCACUUCAAGUGUUGAUGGUUGACGAGACCACUAGUUUCAAGAAAAGGGCAAAGGGAUAGAAGGGGAACUUCAAGAAGAACGGCAAGCAAGUUGCUGCUCAAGUGAAGAAGCCUAAGUCUGGUCCUAAGCCUGAGACUAAGUGCUUCUACUGCAAAGGGACUGGUCACUGGAAGCGGAACUACCCCAACUAUUUGGUGGAUAAGAAGGAUGGCAAAGUGAACAAAGGUAUAUUGGAUAUACAUGUUAUUGAUGUGUACUUUACUAGUGUUUAUAGCAACCCCUCGGUAUUUUAUACUGGUUCAGUUGCUAAGAGUAGUAACUCAAAACGGGAGUUGCAGAAUAAACAGAGACUAGUAAAAGGCGAGGUGACGAUGUGUGUUGGAAGUAGUUCCAAGAUUGAUAUGAUCAUCAUCGCACACUCCCUGUACUUUCGGGAUUAGUGUUGAAACUAAAUAAGUGUUAUUUGGUGUUUGCGUUGAGCAUGAAUAUGAUUUGAUCAUGUUUAUUGCAAUAUGGUUAUUCAUUUAAGUUAGAGAACAAUUGUUAUUCUGUUUACAUGAAUAAAAAACCUUCUAUGGUCAUACACACCAACGAAAUUGGUUUGUUGGAUCUCGAUCGUAGUGAUGCACAUAUUCAUAAUAUUGAAGCCAAAAGAUGCAAAGUUAAUAAUGAUAGUGCAACUUAUUUGUGGCACUGCCGUUUAGGUCAUAUUGGUGUAAAGCGCGUGAAGAAACUCCAUACUGAUGGGAUUUUGGGAUCAAUUGAUUAUGAAUCACUUGAUGCUUGCGAACCAUGCCUCAUGGGCAAGAUGACUAAAACGCCGUUCUCCGGAACUAUGGAGAGAGCAACAGAUUUGUUGGAAAUCAUACAUACUGAUGUAUGCGAUCCGAUGAGUGUUGAGGCUCGUAGCGGGUAUCAUUAAUUUCUGACCUUCAUAGAUGAUUUGAGCAGAUAUGGGUAUAUCUACUUAAUGAAACAGAAGUCUGAAACAUUUGAAAAGUUCAUAUAAUUUCAGAGUGAAGCGAAAAUCAUCGUAACAAGAAAUUAAAGUUUCUACGAUUUGAUCGUGGAGAAGAGUAUUUUUGUUACGAGUUUGGCGUUCAGUUAAAACAAUGUGAAAUAGUUUCACUACUCACGCCACCUGGAACACCACAGCAUAAUGGUGUGUCCGAACGUCAUAAACGUACUUUAUUGGAUAUAGUGCAAUCUAUGAUGUCUCUUACCAAUUUACCACUAUCGUUUUGGGGUUAUGCAUUAGAGACAGCUACAUUCACGUUAAAUAGGGCACCAUCAAAAUCCGAUGAGACGACACCUUAUGACCUGUGGUUUGGCAAGAAACCAAAGUUGUCGUUUCUUAAAGUUUGGGGUUGCGAUGCUUAUGUGAAAAAGUUUCAUCCUGAUAAGUUCAAACCCAAAUCGGAGAAAUGUGUCUUCAUAGGAUACCGAAAGGAGACAGUUGGGUACACCUUCUAUCAUAGAUCCGAAGGCAAGACAUUCGUUGCUUAGUAUGGAUCCUUUCUAGAGAAGGAGUUUCUCUCGAAAGAAGUGAGUGGGAGGAAAGUAGAACUUGAUGAGGUAACUGUACCUGCUCCCUUAUUGGAAAGUAGUUCAUCACAGAAAUCUGUUCCUGUGACUCCUACACCAAUUAGUGAGGAAGUUAAUGAUGAUGAUCAUGUAACUUCAGAUCAAGUUACUACCAAACUCGUAGGUAAACCAGAGUAAGAUUCGCAGCAGAGUGGUACGGUAAUCCUGUUCUGGAGGUUAUGUUACUAGACCAUGACGAACCUACGAACUAUGAAGAAGCGAUGGUGAGCCCAGAUUCCGCAAAAUGGCUUGAGGCCAUGAAAUCUGAGAUGGGAUCCAUGUAUGAGAACAAAGUGUGGACUUUGGAUGACUUGCCCGAUGAUCGGCAAGCCAUAAAAAAUAAAUGGAUCUUCAAGAGGAAGACGGACGCUGAUAGUAGUGUCACUAUCUACAAAGCUAGAAUUGUCGCAAAAAGGUUUUCGACAAGUUCAAGAUGUUGACUACGAUGAGAGUUUCUCACUCGUAUCUAUGCUUAAGUCUGUCCGAAUCAUGUUAGCAAUUGCCGCAUUUUAUGAAAUCUGGCAAAUGGAUAAACAAAACUACAUUCCUUAAUGGAUUUAUUAAAGAAGAGUUGUAUAUGAUGCAACCAGAAGGUUUUGUCAAUCCUAAAGGUGCUAACAAAAUAUGCAAGCUCCAGCGAUCCAUCUAUGGACUGGUGCAAGCAUCUCGGAGUUGGAAUAUACACUUUGAUAAGUUGAUCAAAGGAUAUAGUGUUAUACAGACUUGCGGUGAAGCCUGUAUUUACAAGAAAGUGAGUGGGAGCACUACAGCAUUUCUGAUAAGUAUAUGUGAAUGACAUAUUGUUGAUCGGAAAUAAUGUAGAAUUAUUCUCCAAAGCAUAAAGGAGUGUUUGAAAGGAGUUUUUCAAAAGAAAGACCUCGGUGAAGCCGCUUACAUAUUGAGCAUCAAGAUCUAUAGAGAUAGAUCAAGACGCUUGAUAAGUUUUUUCAAUGAGUACAUACCUUGACAAGAUUUUGAAGUAGUUCAAAAUAGAACAGUCAAAGAAAGAGUUCUUGCCUGUGUUACAAGGUGUGAAAUUGAGUAAGACUCAAAGCCCGACCACGGCAGAAGAUAGAAAGAGAAUGAAAGUCAUUCCCUAUGCCUUGGCCAUAGGUUCUAUAAAGUAUGCCAUGCUGUGUACCAGAUCUAUUGUAUACCCUACACUGAUUUUGGCAAGGGAGUACAAUAGUGAUCUAGGAGUAGAUCACUGGACAGUGGUCAAAAUUAUCCUUAGUGGAAUAAGGAUAUGUUUCUCGAUUAUGGAAGUGACAAAAGGUUCGUCAUAAAGGGUUACGUCGAUGCAAGUUUUGACACUAAAUCUAGAUGACUCUAAGUCUCGGUCUAGAUACAUAUUCAAAGUGGGAGCAAUUAGCUAGAGUAGCUCCGUGCAGAGCAUUGUAGACAUAGAAAUUUGCAAAAUACUUACGGAUCUGAAUGUGACAGACCCGUUGACUAAAAUUAUCUCACAAUCAAAACAUGAUCACACCUUAGUACUCUUUGGGUGUUAAUCACAUAGCGAUGUGAACUAGAUUAUUGACUCUAGUAAACCCUUUGGGUGUUGGUCACAUAGAGAUGUGAACUAUGGGUGUUAAUCACAUGGUGAUGUGAACUAUUGAUGUUAAAUCACAUGGCGAUGUGAACUAGAUUAUUGACUCUAGCGCAAGUGGGAGACUGAAGGAAAUAUGCCCUAGAGGCAAUAAUAAAGUAUUAUAUAUUUCCUUAUAUCAUGAUAAAUGUUUAUUAUUCAUGCUAGAAUUGUAUUAACCGGAAACAUAAUACAUGUGUGAAUACAUAGACAAACAGAGUGUCACUAGUAUGCCUCUACUUGACUAGCUCGUUAAUCAAAGAUGGUUAUGUUUCCUAGCCAUAGACAUAAGUUGUCAUUUGAUUAACGAGAUCACAUCAUUAGGAGAAUGACGUGAUUGACUUGACCCAUUCCGUUAGCUUAGCACUCGAUCGUUUAGUAUGUUGCUAUUGCUUUCUUCAUGACUUAUACAUGUUCCUAUGACUAUGAGAUUAUGCAACUCCCGUUUACCGGAGGAACACUUUGUGUGCUAGCAAAUGUCACAACGUAAAUGGGUGAUUAUAAAGGUGCCCUACAGGUGUCUCCAAAGGUACUUGUUGGGUUGGCGUAUUUCGAGAUUAGGAUUUGUCACUCCAAUGGUCGGAGAGGUAUCUCUGGGCCCACUCGGUAAUGCACAUCACUAUAAGCCUUGCAAGCAUUGUGACUAAUGAGUUAGUUGCGGGACGAUGUGUUAUGAAACGAGUAAAGAGACUUGCCGGUAACGAGAUUGAACUAGGUAUCGAGAUACCGACGAUCAAAUCUCGGGCAAGUAACAUACCGGUGACAAAGGGAACAACGUAUGUUGUUAUGCGGUCUGACCGAUAAAGAUCUUCGUAGAAUAUGUGGGAGCCAAUAUGGGCAUCCAGGUCCCGCUAUUGGUUAUUGACCAGAGACGUGUCUCGGUCAUGUCUACAUAGUUCUUGAAUCCGUAGGGUCCGCAUGCUUAACGUUACGAUGACAGUUUUAUUGAGUUUUGAUGUACCGAAGGAGUUCGGAGUCCCGGAUGAGAUCGGGAACAUGACGAGGAGUCUCGAAAUGGUCGAGAUGUAAAGAUCGAUAUAUUGGACGACUAUAUUCGGACUUCGGAAAGGUUCCGAGUGAUUCGGGUAUUUUUUGGAGUACCGGAGAGUUACGGGAAUACGUAUUUGGCCUUAUUGGGCCAUACGGGAAAGAAGGAAAAGGGCCUCAAGGGUGGCCGCACCCCUCCCCUUGGUCUGGUCCGAAUUGGACUAGGGAAGGGGGGCGCCCCCUUCCUUCUCUUUUUCCCUUCCUCUUUUCCUAUUCCAUAUGGGAGGUGGAAUCCUACUAGGACUAGGGAGUCCUAGUAGGACGCCACACUUGGUGCGCCCCCUCCUAGGGCCGGCCUCCUCCUCCCUUGCUCCUUUAUAUACGGGGGCAGGGGGGCACCCCAAGGACACACUUUGAUAUACGAUAUUUUAGCCGUGUGCGGUGCCCCCCUCCACCAGAUUACACCUCGAUAAUACCGUUGCGGAGCUUAGGCGAAGCCCUGCGUCGGUGGAACAUCAUCAUCGUCACCACGCCGUCAUGCUGACGAAACUCUCCCUCAACACUCGGCUGGAUCGGAGUUCGAGGGACGUCAUCGAGUUGAACGUGUGUAGAACUCGGAGGUGCCGUACGUUCGAUACUUGAUCGGUCGGAUCGUGAAGACGUACGACUACAUCAACCGCGUUGUGAUAACGCUUCCGCUAUCGGUCUACGAGGGUACGUGGACAACACUCUCCCCUCUUGUUGCUAUGCAUCACCAUGAUCUUGCGUGUGCGUAGGAAUUUUUUUGAAAUUACUACGUUCCCCAACAGAAAGCGCGGUCAAACGAAUGAGAAUCCUGUCCGGGGUGGACGGGCUGGGAAAUGGGCCACUGAUUCCGCUCCUCGUGAUGAAGAAGGGAGGCAACCGAAACGUGUGAACAAAAGCAGAGACGAGGUAUUUUCUUAAAAAAACUUGAAAUGGGGGGGGGGCGCUAGGGGGGGUUGUUUUUGUUGUAGUUUAUCUCAAGGCAGGACAUUAGGUAUGUCUUUUCCUUGAGUAUGUAUUGCUCAACGCUUGCUAGGUUUUUUGAAUACUGGGUUUGCUAUUUUUGUUCUUUUGUUGUUAUUUCUGCUUUAUAUAAAAAAACAAUCAUUUUUCAUGUAAUUUUUCACCACCAGAUGCCUAGUAUAGCAGUACCACUUGCCUAGUAUAGUAGUAGCAGUUGAUUUUUAAUGUAGAUGUAGUUGCACAGUUUACCAGACACAACAGCCUUGCCUGAUCUUUAAUUUUUAAUUCUUCUAUUUUUCUCCACAGAUUGGUACUAGUGCGCCACCACCAAGGAACAUGGCAUCAUCCUCAAGGAUAUUCACUCUAAAUGCUUCCCUUGAAGACCUGCAAAGGGGAGCCAUAUGUGAUCUAAGUUUUGGCGGCAUACUUGAUAUCGGCACAAGAACAAUGAAAGGAGAUAUCGUGAAGUUUGUCAUGGAUUGUUGUGACCCGGAGUUGUCCCAGUUUGUUAUACCUGAGAGGGGUAAGAUCCCGCUCGACGUAGACAGUGUUGAAAGGAUAUGGGGUCUACCAAGGGGGCGGAACAAGGUUGCAUAUGAAAUCGAUCCAGACAUAGAAUGUUUUUCAAUGGGAUGCUCAACAUUCCUUCAGGGCCUGUGCCAAUAGUGACCAAGUGGGUGGAGAUGAUAAAGGAGAUGGGAGUUGCUCAUGAUGACACAUUCUUAAGUACCUAGCUUGUCAUUGUUUUCAGCUGUUUUCUUGCACCAACAACCAGCUUGAAGGUGUCGCCACGUGCCUAUUCAGCUGCAUUGAACCCACGCGACAGUGUGAAUUCAGAUGUUUGCCAGUUCGUUGUUGACCGGCUUAGGAUUGCUUUCAUGGGUUUUGGAGACAAGAAGAAUACUGCAUGUUGUUGCCUAUUCCACUCAGUGGUAAAAUGAUCUAGAUCCCCCGUUUUUUUCUGGUUUAUUGCCUUUCUUUUCAUUGUUUUUAUUUUUCAAUAGUUUUAGGAAACUAACAUGUGUCCUUCUUUUCUUUUGUUUGUGUUUUGGUCUGCGAGACAACUCGUUUACCUUGACUCGCUAGAUGUGGACUACAUGUCCAUUUCCAAGGACUUUGUGGAUGAGAGCACGCGAAUAUCCGUCCAAGGGUUAAAGCAUGGAACAAGGGUCUCAUCAGGGCAGUCAUGAAGAAGGACAGGAUCAUAAAGGGUGUAUAUGGAAAGCUGCGAGCUGCGAGUAAGUUUUGGAGGUGGACUUGCUCACCAGUAGGUUUUGUAGUUGCCCAUAAUCAGAGGUGGACUUGCUCACCUGUAGGUUUUGUAGUUGCCCAUAAUCAGAGGUGGACUUGCUCACCAGUACGUUUUGUAGUUGCCCAUAAUCAGAGGUGGACUUGAUCACCAGUAGGUUUUGUAGUUGCCCAUAAUCAGAGGUGGACUUGCUCUAAUUACAGUUGGGAGUUUCCCAUCUGCAUAGUUGUACUUGCCCUAUUUUUUGUAGUUGCUCAUCAACAGGAUACAUUUGGAGUUGUAUGUUGUUCAGUCCAAAGAGUUAUUUAUGGGGUUUUCCAGUUGUUAGUGUCCUUGUCCAUGUACCAAGCUUUUUGGAGUUGCCCAACAAUAUGCAUGCUGUUUCCCUAAUUUUUGUUUGUCUGUUGAUUUUAAUUUUUCCACUUUUUUCUUGACUGUUGAUUUCUCACACCUGCCCAUCAACAUAAACAGUUGAAAACUGAGUUCUCAAGGUGUUCUGAAGAUAGCCUGUUUGGGAGCAUGGAUCAUAUCCAGAAGUUUGUUGCUGCCAAGUUGCCCUAGAAUUAUGAGAUCAAUGUAUGUUCUUUUCUUUUGCUUUCUAGUAUCCCACACUUUUUUAUGCGAAGUUGAUAAUGAAAUCUAUGUUUUUUCUACGUACUCAUCAUUUCUACCGCCCUUGUUUUGUUGUUUUUGCAGAAAUAGAAGAAGUUGACGGUGUUGGUACACAACAUGUGCUAUGAAAUAUCUUCCCAAGUGGGGAAGUUUGUGCUAGGUGUUGGUAAGCUGGAUGAGGAGGAUGAUGUGCCAGCCACGAGUGCUUCCAGGGGUCCAGAUGCACGUCAACCCAUUAUGAAGGAAAGGCAUAGAAGAGCAGCGACAACUCCUAAAGUGAAAAAUGUUGCAAGGAAGAGGAAAGGAAAGGGCAGAAGAACUCAUGAUGAGGAGAGGCUUUUGUUGUGUGAUGAUGAUGAUGAGGAAACGGAGGAAGAGGAACUGGGACUUUCGGAUGAAGAGGAAGAGGAGGAAGGAGAUUACAACGGUGAAUCUAGAGAUGAGGACGCAUCUGAUGGGGAAGGUGAUGAUGACGACGAUGGUGAAGAUGAUGAUGAUGACGGUUUAGAGAGUAGCCCACCAACAACAACAGAACCCGGUGACAAUGAGCGCAUGGAUGUUGAUAGGGAUGAAGACGGGGAUGAAAAGGAGGGAGAGGGGGUUGAGGAGGAGGGGGAAGAGGGGGGUGAUGAGGAGGAGGAAGAAGAGGAUGAUGUGGAGGAGGAAGAGGAGGAUGGCGAGGAGGAUGAUGAUGAGGAGGAGGAGGAGGAGGAAGAGGCAAAUAAUGAAGACAAGGACAAAAAUGAGGAACACAAUAAGGGAAAUGAGGAACAGGAGAAGGAAGAGAUUGAAAAAGAGGAGAAACAGGAGGAUGAAAAGAAGGAAGAUGAGAAAGGAAGAGAAGGAUGAGCUCGGAAAGGACGAAGGUGAAGAUGAAGAAGAGAAGGAUGAGGAGGAAGAAGGUGGUGUGGGAGGGAAGAAGAGGGAAGACGACAAGGAUGAUGGCGGGAUGGGUGGCUAUGGUAGUGCUGACAACACCACUGGGAGGAGCGGCCACGAUGGAGGUGCAAAAACCCCGGGGUGGCAAAAUGGCAGUGAUGAUGAUGAGGUCCCGCUGAGCACUAUCAUGGAUAAGCUGAAGCAUUCUGCCAAGGAUCAGGAGCAAUCACAACCGUGCACGUCCACCAGUGGAACACAGGGGAUCAUGCAAAGUGCUGGUAGUUUUUUUCGCAGCGAGUUUGUUAAGAUGGACAUUCGAAAGGAACCGUUCAAGGUAGACAAUGCGCCCGUUGUGACUGCUGCAGAGGUGGUCAGAAUUGGAGAUUCAUCUUUCAAGCCGAAGACGAGAGUGCCUGAGAUGCGAGAUAUCCCUUUAUUCCCGUUGCCCGUGCUGCCACGUGAAGAUUUCGUGCUAUGUACGGACUUUCACUGCGAAGAAAUGAUUGUGGAAGAUGGGUUGAAACGUUUUACCGAUGUCCCAAAGGAAGGUAGUUGCACACAAUUUGCAAACGGAGCCGAGGGGGUGGGAAGAAGAAGGUCAAGAAAGUAACCCACAGGACGGUGAAGGUUAGCAUUGCAUCCCCGAAAGCAAGCCAGACAGCUAAGCAGCAAGCUCCCACACAUGUGUAGAGCUUGGCAGCCGAUUCAGAAAAUUAAACUGUCACAGUAGCUCCAAAACACAAGGUGUGUCGGAAAAAAGCAACGAACAAGCAAAAAAAGCAACCCUUGACACUUUGCAAGCAACUACAACUACAUCUCAAGCAACUAUUGUCAGCAUGCAGGCAGAAGCCCCUCACAAGCAACAUACAGAGUCAUCGGCGAAGAGUGCACUUGUAUCUGGACAGGACAAGCAUGGAGAGAAAGGUUCGGAACCAACAGAGCCCAUCAAAACAUGGCCAACACAGACUUGUGAGCAUUCGAAACAACCAGGAGUCACCGACAGUGCCAAAGAGGAUAUCAAGGGGAAAGCAACUGCAGUGCUGAAGGAAGCAACUCCUGUGCUGAAGGAAGCAACUCCUGUAUUAAACCAGGCAACUUCAAAGGAAGUUGCAGCCCGGUCAACAAAGAAGCCUCCUGUUGUUCCCACCAAGCAAGCGUGCUUUGGACAAAGGAAAGAAAUAUCAUUUGCUGAUAUCAGGGGCAUCAACGAGAUGCUGGAAAAGUGUGUGACUCCAGGGUCAACGCCACCACUCAAGAGAAGUAAGUCUGCCAACACUAUACAAGUAAUACAUGCGUCUCCGAUCUUAAUCAGGCAGCAAGCAAAGAAGUUUCUGAUUCAGGCGAAGCACCACAAUCACUCCAAAGAUGAAAGUCUGGAAGCGCUGUUUGGGAUAAUUAUUGCCCAGCCCCACCUUUCAAUCUUGGAAUAGAUGAAAUGCUAGAAAAAAAAGUGGACGAGGACAAGGGGAUGUCAAAGGACAAAGGGGCGGCAAACGAACCUGCCACUACAGACUUUGCACUAGUAGAAAAACGACCUAAUGUUCACCUCACUAGUCCCGGUUCAAUUACAGACCGGCACUAAUGUGACCAUUAGUGCUGGUUCCAACGACUAGGCGGGCGACACUCAUUAGUCUCGGUUCCUGUUGAAUCUCUAGUACCGGUUGGUGCCACGAACCGGGACUAAAGGUGUUGGUGGGGCCCCAGCCUGACACCAGCCUGCCACCACCUCUUUAGUCCUGGUUCGUGGCACGAACCGAGACUUGAGAUGCAUCUUUCUUUAGUCCCGGUUCGUAUAAGCAACUGGGACUAAAGAUGCCUCUAUAUAAACCCUUCGUUGAGCCCGAGCCCAUUUCUCUCUGUUUUCCUUCCUCUCCUCUGUUCUUCCCCAUUGCUCGAGCUCAUCCUUCAAUUUUGCCAAAAUUUGUCAAGAUUUGAAGGCCCCCCAUCCAUCCAAGUGAUCACAAAGGUUAGCAACUUUGUCCUUUCAUAUCUCAUUGCUAGCUUAGCUCUUGCAAUGCUCUAUAAGUAUAGUGAUUUGUGGGUUUUAGUUUGGGAGUAAUUAUAUGUGGUAGUUUAUUUGAUUUAUAUGCAAUUUGAGCUCAAAUUAACUCUUAGUUUGCAUAUGUAGGUGUUGUUUACUUAGUGCCUUCCCGUCCCCGUCCAAACCACCGUUGAUCGCCCGCACCGUCCCGUCACCGGCACCACCUUGGUGAGCCUCUUGUUCUUAUCUUUUUUAUAUAAAAAAAUCAUGUUUGUGUGACUUAGAUAUAUAGUUACUGUUGGGGAACACAUCAUGCAAUUAAUUUUUUUUCCUACGCUCACGCAAGAUCUACCUAGGAGAUGCAUAGCAAUGAGAGGGGGAGAGUGUGUCCACGUACCCUCGUAGACCGAAAGCGGAAGCGUUUGACAAUGCGGUUGAUGUAGUCAAACUUCUCGUUCCGACCGAUCAACCGAACGUACGACACCUCCGAGUUUUGCACACGUUCAGGUCGACGAUGAAGGAAACAUGCCCUAGAGGCAAUAAUAAAGUUGUUAUUUUAUAUUUCCUUAUAUCAUGAUAAAUGUUUAUUUAUUCAUGCCACAAUUGUAUUAACCGGAAACUUGAUACAUGUGUGGAUACAUAGACAAAACACCGUGUCCCUAGUAAGCCUAUACUAGACUAGCUCGUUAAUCAAAGAUGGUUAAGUUUCCUAACCAUAGACAUGUGUUGUAAUUUGAUGAAUGGGAUCACAUCAUUAGGAGAAUGAUGUGAUGGACAAGACCCAUCCGUUAGCUUAGCAUGUUGAUCGUUCAGUUUUAUUGCUAUUGCUUUCUUCAUGUCAUAUACAUAUUCCUUUGACUAUGAGAUUAUCCAAUUUCCGGAUACUGGAGGAAUACCUUGUAUGCUAUCAAACAUCACAACAUAACUGGGUGAUUAUAAAGAUGCUCUACAGGUAUCUCCGAAGGUGUUUGUUGGGUUGGCAUAGAUCGAGCUUAGCAUUUGUCACUCCAAGUAAAGGAGAGGUAUCUCUGGGCCCUCUCAGUAAUGCACAUCAUGAUAAGCCUUGCAAGCAAUGUGACUCAUGAGUUAGUUGUUGGAUGAUGCAUUAUGGAAUGAGUAAAGAGACUUGCUGGUAACGAGAUUGAACUAGGUAUGAAGAUACCGACGAUCGAAUCUCGGGCAAGUAACAUACCGAUGACAAAGGGAAUAACGUAUGUUGUCAUUAUGGUUUGACCGAUAAUGAUCUUCGAAGAAUAUGUCGGAACCAAUAUUAGCAUCCAGGUUCCGCUAUUGGUUAUUGACUGGAGAGGUGUCUCAGUCAUGUCUACAUAGUUCUCGAACCCGCAGGGUCCGCACGCUUAACGUUUGAUGACGAUUUUAUAUCAUAUGAGUUAUGUGAUUUGGUGACCGAAUGUUGUUCAGAGUCUCGGAUGAGAUCAAGGACAUGACGAGGAGUCUCGAAAUGGUCGAGAGGUAAAGAUUCAUAUAUAGGACGAUAGUAUUCGGGCACCAGAAGUGUUCUGGGGGUACCGGGUAUGUAUCGGGUCACCGGAAGGGGUUCCGAGCAACCCCCGGCAAGCUAUAUGGGGCUAAUGGGCCAAGAGGGAAAACACACCAGCCAAAAGGGGCUGGAGCGCCAUAUGGGCUGGCCAAAUUGGAGAAGGAAAGGGGAAGAAGGAAAGGAAAAAGGGAAUAGGAUUUCCCCUUCCCCCUCUUCCCUUCCUACUCCGAAUAGGAAUGAGAAAGGGGGGAGGCCGGAUUGGGAGGACCCUAAGUAGGAUUCCUCCUACUUCGGGCGCCCCUUGGCUGCCUCUCCUCCCCUCCAACCUAUAUAUAUGAGGGGGGACCGCUAGAACACACAACAAACAUUGUUAGCCGUGUGCGGCGCCCUCCUCCACAGUUUACGCCUCCGGUCAUAUUCACGUAGUGCUUAGGCGAAGCCCUGCGCGGAUCACUUCACUAUCACCGUCACCACACCAUCGUGCUGACGGAACUCUCCCUCGACACUUUGCUGGAUCAAGAGUUCGAGGGACGUCAUCGAGCUAAACGUGUGCAGAACUCGGAGGUGUCGUACGUUCGGUGCUUGAUCGGUCGAAACGAGAAGAAGUUCGACUACAUCAACCGAAUUGUCAAACGCUUCGCUUUCGGUCUACGAGGGUACGUGGACACACUCUCCCCCUCUCGUUGCUAUGCAUUUCCUAGAUAGAUCUUGCGUGAGCGUAGGAUUUUUUUGAAAUUGCAUGCUAUGUUCCCCAACAGUGGUAUCAGAGCCAGGUCUAUGCGUAGAUGAUAUGCACGAGUAGAACACAAAGAGUUGUGGGUGGUUAUCGUCAUACUGCUUACCACCAAUGUCUUAUUUUGAUUCAGCGGUAUUGUUGGAUGAAGCGGCCCGGACCAACCUUACAUGACCACGUUCAUGAGACUGGUUCCACCGACAGACAUGCAACUAGUUUUGCAUAAAGGUGGUUGCCGGUCCUUGUUGAAGGUUAAAACAACAAACUUGAUAAACCACAACGGGUCCUUGUUGAAGGUUAAAACAGCAAACUUGAUAAUCCAUCGUUGUGGUUUUGAUGCGUAGGUAAAAACGGUUCUUACUAGAAGCCCGUAGCAGCCACGUAAUACUUGCAACAACAAAGUAGAGGACGUCUAACUUGUUUUUGCAGGGCAUGUUGUGAUGUGAUAUGGUCAAGACAUGAUGAGAUAUACGUUGUUGUAUGAGAUGAUCAUGUUCUGUAAAAGUUAUCGGCAACUGGUAGGAGCCUUAUGGUUGUCGCUUUAUUGUAUGAAAUGCAAUCACCAUGUAAUUGCUUUACUUUAUCACUAUGCGUAAGCGAUAGUUGUAGAAGCAAUAGUUGGCGAGGCGACAACGACGCUACGAUGGAGAUCAAGGUGUCAAGCCGGUGACGAUGGAAAUCAUGACGAUGCUUUGGAGAUGGAGAUCAAAGGCACAAGAUGGUGAUGGCCAUAUCAUGUCACAUAUUUGAUUGCAUGUGAUGUUUAUCUUCUAUGCAUCUUAUUUUGCUUACUACGGCGGUAGCAUUAUAAGAUUAUCCCUUACUAAAAAUUUCAAGGAAUAAGUGUUCUCCCUGAUUAUGCACCAUUGCGACAGUUCGUCGUGCCGAGACACCAUGUGAUGAUCGGGCGUGAUAAGCUCUACGUUCACAUAACGGGUGCAAGACAGUUUUGCACAUGCGGAAUGCUCGGGUUAAACUUGACGAGCCUAGCAUGUACAGACAUGGCCUCAGAACACUGGAGACCGAAAGGUCGAGCGUGAAUAAUAUAGUAGAUAUGAUCAACAUAGAGAUGUUCACCAUUGAAGACUCCUCCAUCUCACGUGAUGAUCGGAUAUGGUUUAGUUGAUUUGGAUCACGUAAUCAUUUAGAUGACUCGAGGGAUGUCUAUCUAAGUCGGAGUUCUUAAGUAAUAUGAUUAAUUGAACUUAAUUUAUCAUGAACUUAGUCCUGAUAGUAUUUUCCUAUCUAUGUUGUAAAUCAAUAGCUCGCGUAUAGCUCCCCUGUUUUAUUUUUGAUAUGUUCCUAGAGAAAACUAAGUUGAAAGAUGAUAGUAGCAAUGAUGCAGACUGGGUCCGUGAUCUGAGGAUUAUCCUCAUUGCUGCACAAAAUAAUUAUGUCCUUGAUGCACCACUAGGUGGCGAACCUAUUGCAGGAGCAGAUGCAGACGUUAUGAACGUUUUACAAGCUUGGUAUGAUGACUACUUGAUAUUUUAGUGCACCAUGCUUUACGGCUGAGAACCAGGACCUAAAAAAUGUUUUGAAUGCCAGGGAGCAUAUGGGAUGUUCGAAGAAGCUGAAAAUGAUAUUUCAGACUCAUGCCCGUGUUAAGAAGUAUGAGACCUCUAACAAGUACUUUGCCUACAACAUGGAGGAUAAUAGCUCACGCGGUGAGCAUGUGCUCAGAAUGUUUGGGUACUACAAUCGCUUGAAUCAAGUGGGAGUUAAUCUUCCAGAUAAGAUAGUGAUUGACAGAGUUCUCUAGUCACUAUCACCAAGUUACUAGAACUUCGUGAUGAACUAUAAUAUGCAAGGGAUAACGAAAACGAUUCCCAAGCUCUUCGCGAUGUGCUACCUCUUGAGCACUGCGUUGGUUUUCCCUUGAAGAGGAAAGGGUGAUGCAGCAAAGUAGCGUAUGUAUUUCCCUCAGUUUUUGAGAACCAAGGUAUCAAUCCAGUAGGAGGCCACGCACGAGUCCUUCGCACCUAUACAAACAAAUAAAUCCUCGCAACCAACGCGAUAAGGGGUUGUCAAUCCCUACACGGUCACUUACGAGAGUGAAAUCUGAUAGAUAUGAUAAGAUAAUAUUUUUGGUAUUUUUUAUGAUAAAGAUGCAAAGUAAAAUAAAAGGCAAUAAAAAUAACUAAGUGUUGGAAGAUUAAUAUGAUGGAAAAUAGACCCGGGGGCCAUAGGUUUCACUAGUGGCUUCUCUCAAGAGCAUAAGUAUUUAUGGUGGGUGGUGGGUGAACAAAUUACUGUUGAGCAAUUGACAGAAUUGAGCAUAGUUAUGAGAAUAUAUAGGUAUGAUCAUGUAUAUAGGCAUCACGUCCGAGACAAGUAGACCGACUCCUGACUGCAUCUACUACUAUUACUCCACACAUCAACCGCUAUCCAGCAUGCAUCUAGAGUAUUAAGUUCAUAAGAACAGAGUAAUGCUUUAAGCAAGAUGACAUGAUGUAGAGGGAUAAACUCAUGCAAUAUGAUAUAAACCCCAUCUUGUUAUCCUCGAUGGCAACAAUACAAUACGUGCCUUGCUGCCCCUACUGUCACUGGGAAAGGACACCGCAAGAUUGAACCCAAAGCUAAGCACUUCUCCCAUUGCAAGAAAGAUCAAUCUAGUAGGCCAAACCAAACUGAUAAUUCGAAGAGACUUGCAAAGAUAACCAAUCAUACAUAAAAGAAUUCAGAGAAGAUUCAAAUAUUGUUCAUAGAUAUACUUGAUCAUAAACCCACAAUUCAUCGGUCUCAACAAACACACCGCAAAAGAAGAUUACAUCGAAUAGAUCUCCACGAGAGAGGGGGAGAACAUUGUAUUGAGAUCCAAAAAGAGAGAAGAAGCCAUCUAGCUAAUAACUAUGGACCCGAAGGUCUGAGGUAAACUACUCACACAUCAUCGGAGAGGCUAUGGUGUUGAUGUAGAAGCCCUCCGUGAUCGAUGCCCCCUCCGGCGGAGCUCCGGAACAGGCCCCAAGAUGGGAUCUCACGGGUACAGAAGGUUGCGGUGGUGGAAUUAGGUUUUUGGCUCCGUAUCUGGUAGUUUGGGGGUACGUAGGUAUAUAUAGGAGGAAGGAGUACGUNNNNNNNNNNNNNNNNNNNNNNNNNNNNNNNNNNNNNNNNNNNNNNNNNNNNNNNNNNNNNNNNNNNNNNNNNNNNNNNNNNNNNNNNNNNNNNNNNNNNNNNNNNNNNNNNNNNNNNNNNNNNNNNNNNNNNNNNNNNNNNNNNNNNNNNNNNNNNNNNNNNNNNNNNNNNNNNNNNNNNNNNNNNNNNNNNNNNNNNNNNNNNNNNNNNNNNNNNNNNNNNNNNNNNNNNNNNNNNNNNNNNNNNNNNNNNNNNNNNNNNNNNNNNNNNNNNNNNNNNNNNNNNNNNNNNNNNNNNNNNNNNNNNNNNNNNNNNNNNNNGGGGGGGGUAGGCGCCCCCUACCUCGUGCCCUCCUGGUUGAUGUCUUGACGUAGGGUCUAAGUCCCCAGGAUCACGUUCUUUCCGAAAAUCACGUUCCCGAAGGUUUCAUUCCGUUUGGACUCCGUUUGAUAUUCUUUUUCUGUGAAACUCUGAAAUAGGCAAAAAAUAGCAAUUCUGGGCUGGGCCUCCGGUUAAUAGGUUAGUCCCAAAAUUAAUAUAAAAGUGUAUAAUAAAGCCCAAUAAUGUCCAAAACAGAAUAUAAUAUAGCAUGGAACAAUAAAAAAUUAUAGAUACGUUGGAGAUGUAUCAAGCAUCCCCAAGCUUAAUUCCUGCUCGUCCUCGAGUAGGUAAAUGAUAAAAACAGAAUUUUUGAUGUGGAAUGCUACUUGGCAUAAUUUCAAUUUAAUUCUUCUUAAUUGUGGUAUGAAUAUUCAGAUUCGAAAGAUUCAAGAUAAAAGUUCAAUAUUGACAUAAAAAUAAUAAUACUUCAAGCAUACUAACUAAGCAAUUGUGUCCUCUCAAAAUAACAUGGCCAAAGAAAGUUCAUCCCUACAAAAUCAUAUAGUUUAGUCAUGCUCCAUUUUCGUCACACAAGAAUGCUCUCAUCAUGCACAUCCCCGAUGACAAGCCAAGCAAUUGUUUCAUACUUUAGUAAUCUCAAACUUUUUCAACCUUCACGCAAUACAUGAGCGUGAGCCAUGGAUAUAGCACUAUGGGUGGAAUAGAAUAUAAUGAUGGGGGUUAUGUGGAGAGGACAAAAAAGGGAGAAAGUCUCACAUCAACGAGGCUAAUCAAUGAGCUAUGGAGAUGCCCAUCAAUUGAUGUUAAUGCAAGGAGUAGGGAUUGCCAUGCAACGGAUGCACUAGAGCUAUAAAUAUAUGAAAGCUCAACAAAAGAAACUAAGUGGGUGUGCAUCCAACUUGCUUGCUCACGAAGACCUAGGGCAUUUGAGGAAGCCCAUUGUUGGAAUAUACAAGCCAAGUUCUAUAAUGAAAAGUUCCCACUAGUAUAUGAAAGUGACAAAACAAAAGACUCUCUAUCAUGAAGAUUAUGGUGCUACUUUGAAGCACAAGUGUGGUAAAAGGAUAGUAACAUUGUCCCUUCUCUCUUUUUCUCUCAUUUUUUGGGCCUUCUCUUUUUUAUGGCCUUUCUCUUUUUUUAUUUUUCCUCACUUGGGACAAUGCUCUAGAAAAUGAUGAUCAUCACACUCUAUUUAUUUACAACUCAAUGAUUACAACUCGAUACUAGAACAAAGUAUGACUCUAUAUGAAUGCCUCCGGCGGUGUACCGGGAUAUGCAAUGAACCAAGAGUGACAUGUAUGAAAGGAUUAUGAAUGGUGGCUUUGCCACAAAUACUAUGUCAACCACAUGAUCAUGCAAAGCAAUAUGACAAUGAUGAAUGCAUCAUGAUAAACGGAACGGUGGAAAGUUGCAUGGCAAUAUAUCUCGGAAUGGCUAUGGGAAUGCCAUAAUAGGUAGGUAUGGUGGCUGUUUUGAGGAAGAUAUAAGGAGGUUUAUGUGUGAAAGAGCGUAUCAUAUCACGGGGUUUGGAUGCACCGGCGAAGUUUGCACCAACUCUCAAUGUGAGAAAGGGCAAUGCACGGUACCGAAGAGGCUAGCACUGAUGGAAAGGUGAGAGUGCGUAUAAUCCAUGGACUCAACAUUAGUCAUAAAGAACUCACAUACUUAUUGCAAAAGUCUACAAGUCAUCAAAAACCAAGCACUACGCGCAUGUUCCUAGGGGGAUAGAUUGGUAGGAAAAGACCAUCGCUCGUCCCCGACCGCCACUCAUAAGGAGGACAAUCAAAGAACACCUCAUGUUUCAAAUUUGUUACAUAACGUUUACCAUACGUGCAUGCUACGGGACUUGCAAUCACACGUAUUUUUCAAAUUCACAACUACUCAACUAGCACAACUUUGAUAUCACUACCUCCAUGUCUCAAAACAAUCAUCAAGCAUCAAACUUCUCUUAGUAUUCAACACACUCAUAAGAAAGUUUUUACUAGUAUUGAAUACCUAGCACAUUAGGAUUAUUUAAGUAAAUUACCAUGCUAUUUAAGACUCUCAAAAUAAUAUAAGUGAAGCAUGAGAGAAUAAUAGUUUCUAUAAAACAAAACCACCACCGUGCUCUAAAAGAUAUAAGUGAAGUACUAGAGCAAAAACUAUAUAACUCAAAAGAUAUAAGUGAAGCAGAUAGAGUAUUCUAAUAAUUUCCGAAUCAUGUGUGUAUCUCUCAAAAGGUGUGUACAGCAAGUAUGAUUGUGGUAAACUAAAAAGCAAAGACUCAAAUCAUACAAGACGCUCCAAGCAAAACACAUAUCAUGUGGUGAAUAAAAAUAUAGCUCCAAGUAAAGUUACCGAUGGAAGUAGACGAAAGAGGGGAUGCCUUCCGGGGCAUCCCCAAGCUUUGGCUUGUAGGUGUCCUUAGAUUAUCUUGGGGUGCCAUGGGAAUCCCCAAGCUUAGGCUCUUGCCACUCCUUGUUCCAUAAUCCAUCAAAUCUUUCACCCAAAACUUGAAAACUUCACAACAGAAAACUUAAAAGAAAAUCUCGUGAGCUCGGUUAGCAAAAGGAAACAAAACACCACUUCAAGGUACUGUAAUGAAGUCAUUCUUUAUUUAUUUUGGUGUUAAACAUACUUUAUUCCAACUUCUCUAUGGUUUAUAAACUAUUUUACUAGCCAUAGAUUCAUCAAAAUAAGCAAACAACACACGAAAAACAGAAUCUGUCAAAAACAGAACAGUCUGUAGUAAUCUGUAACUAACGCAAACUUCUGGAACUUCAAAAAUUCAGCCAAAAUAGGAAGACCUAGACAAUUUGUUUAUUGAUCAGCAAAAAUUGGAAUCAAUAUUUUAUCACGUUCUGGUGAUUUUUAACAAUUAUUUUUGUAAACAGAAAGUUUCUGUAAUUUUUAGCAAGAUCAAAUAACUAUCACCCAAGAAGAUCCUAUAGGUUUAACUUGGCACAAACACUAAUUAAAAGAUAAAAAUACAUCUAACCAGAGGCUAGAUCAAAUAUUUAUUCCUAAACAGAAGGAAAAAGCAAAAAAAAAAACUAAAAAUAAAAUUGGGUUGCCUCCCAACAAGCGCUAUCGUUUAACGCCCCUAGCUAGGCAUUGAGAUUUCGAUUAUGCUCACAUGAAAGACAAGAAUUGAAGCACAAAGAGAG